UCUGUAUUGGAGGAGAAAUAAUCUAUUAGUGUGCUAAUGAUUUACUAAAGAACAAAUACCUAUAUUAGAUAUUCUGUAUUUGCAAUUCACAUAAGUGAAUAAGGUCUUUCAGCAGACAGGGGUGUACUUGAUAGACUUCCACAGAAACAAAUCACAUCUAGUAUAGACAAAAUCUAUACAAAGGGCCUGGAAACAAUGCCAACUGCAAAGCAAGCAGCUUUUCAAUUUGUAGAAGAUAUGAAAACACGGAUUCUGACGGAUGAUUGGGUUCUAGGGGGACUAGUGGUGAUAGUUUCAUUCUUCACUAUCAUCAUUGUCCUCAUUUUGUUUGCUGCGAUCUUUGGCUGCUGUUCAACUGAAAGGAAUAAACUGAGUUCUGAGUAAAUCAUCAGAUCACUUGCCUUUACAAUAUUUUAUCUACAGAGGACUGAGCAGUAUAAAGAGAUGCUUCUUCUUGCUGUUUUAUCUUUUGAGUUUAGAAAU